rnacentral:rRNA from 1 species
GAUGAACGCUAGCGGCAGGCUUAACACAUGCAAGUCGAGGGGCAGCGGGGUGUAGCAAUACAUCGCCGGCGACCGGCGCACGGGUGCGUAACACGUAUGGAAUCUGCCCUUUACUGGGGGAUAGCCCGGAGAAAUCCGGAUUAAUACCCCAUAACAAGCGAGGUGGCAUCAUCUUGCUUUGAAAGCUCCGGCGGUAAAGGAUGUCCAUGCGCCCGAUUAGCUAGUUGGUGAGGUAAUGGCUCACCAAGGCUACGAUCGGUAGGGGGCCUGAGAGGGUUAUCCCCCACACAGGUACUGAGACACGGACCAGACUCCUACGGGAGGCAGCAGUGAGGAAUAUUGCGCAAUGGAGGCAACUCUGACGCAGCCAUGCCGCGUGCAGGAAGAAGGCGCUACGCGUUGUAAACUGCUUUUAUCCGGGAAGAAACCCCAGGACGUGUCCUGGGUUGACGGUACCGGAGGAAUAAGCACCGGCUAACUUCGUGCCAGCAGCCGCGGUAAAGUAG